AGUUUGACCUGCCCACUGACGUAGGUUAAAGGGCUGCGGUAUUUCUGACCGUGCAAAGGUAGCAUAAUCAAUAGUCUUUUAAAAGGAGGCUUGUAUGAACGGUUUGACAAGGGUGUGACUGUCUAAAAAGCAAGUAUUGAACUUGACUUUUAAGUGAAAAGGCUUAGAUGAGAUGAAGGGACGAUAAGACCCUAUAAAGCUUUACAGGAGUUAUAGUCGUAAGGGUUUAUUGUUAGUAAGUAACUAACGAUUGUUUAUACUGUUUUGUUGGGGCGACAAUGAUAUAAUAGGUAACUGUCAUAUUAAACAAAAUAAUUAUAAUUAUGUUUAUUUAAUGACCCUGUAGUAUGGGUUACUAGAUAAAGUUACUUUAGGGAUAACAGCGUAAUUUUCCUUGAGAGUCCAUAUCGACAGGAGUAGUUGCGACCUCGAUGUUGAAUUAGGGAAAGUUUUGUGGUGGAGAGACUGCAUGGAGUAGGUCUGUUCGACCUUUGAAACCUUACAUGAUUUGAGUUCAGACCGGUUUAAGCCAGGUG
rnacentral:rRNA from 1 species